UGUUGAUCAACCCAUUAAAUUCUAGAUCGCCUCAUUCAAAUUAACACUAAGGAAAAAUAUUUCGGAUCUUUUAAUGACCCGACCCGGUAAAGACCGGAUAUGCAGUAUGUUCUUACCAGGUCAGUAGCUGCAUUGAAUGCAGUCUCUUCGAUCAAGCCACUCAUUGCGAUUUCUGUUUGGCAAGUCUAGCCUUCAUCAGUCUAUCGAACAGAAAAAUCCAAACGUGUUCCUGCUUGCUCGCAUCCAUGAAGAUCAGCUUUUGUGUGGACGAAGGCGUUGUGUUCGAUCAUAUGCUUAUACGAUGAUCGAGCUGUGUUUUUGCCGAAUAGAUAUGACUGCGUUUAGCCAUCCAUGCGCGUCGUUCAUGUGAAAUUUUUGUUUCAUAAUUAAUUUUUGGUUUGAAGAUGGAUUUUCUAUCUCUGUCGUGCAUAGCGAACCAGAUUGUCUAAUAUCUGACGUCUCCCAUUGAUGCAACAGGACGCAAGCGGGUUCUGACCGGAUCAACUCUCCAAAUGCUUCACGUAGUUCCCAGCGGCGUAGGACUGCUCGGACCAUGUCAAUCUUCAUCUCUUUGAUUAUUUGCAUACAGGUCCACAAUAUAUAUAAAUAUAAUUGACUGAUUUCAAUUUUCUUUUGUUGAAUGUAUGCAGGAUUAUAGGUACGGAUGGACUAAGUUCAUAACAUUAGAGUAAAUGAGAUCAUUACUACUGGUAGUGUUGUUAUUUUUCCGGGUUUCAUUAUGUACUCCAUCACUGUUUUUGACCUCAGUGCUUUGUUAACACCUUCUUCGCAAAGCCAUCUCGGAACCCCAAUUCUUCGCAAAGCCACCUUCUUUUGUGUUCUUCUUUAUUAUUCAUACUCAUAUUCUUUGUGCUGGAUUUGUCAAUUUAACCUUUUGCUUUCUUCAUCCUUUUAUUAUAUAACUCGGGUUUGAUAUGUUUAAACUUAUCUUGAUACUGAUUUGUCAUGACUUUUUGAGAUUGUAAGUGUCGAGCAGGCCACAGAAUUGUUGAUGGUUUAGAUUCAUCAACCCAAAUUCGCGAUCCUCAUUUGGGGUGAAAGAAAAUCAUGAUGCUCUACAUUGACAAAAGAAAAUUCACAUACCUCAACUGUGACCAUAACCUCUUGACGGAAGAGCAUAUACAUCCCAAGGUCUUCACCAGAUGCUUCUCAAACCACAAACUGAGUUGCUACCUCUCAAUUCAUAAAUCUGACUUGGUGAGUUCUUAUCGAUCGUGGUAACCGUUCACCUUUCGGAUCAAGUAUUCCUGUGGACAAAAAGCUUAAUUUCUAGCUUCCGGCAUAAAAAAUACUGCCUUCUGACCAAGACUCUACUGAAUCAUGUGAAAGAUUUGCGUAGACCAGUCCGGUGAUUAAUUAGUAUAACCACUAUCAGAAGGACCAGUCAAUUAGGAUUGCAAAGUGGUAAAGGAACCCAAAUCAUCAGUCCAGAUUGCAAUCAGUCAACCUUGAUGCAUCUCAAACUACCUUGAUGCAAGACAACUCAAAUUGCAAUCAGUCAGGUCGUUAACAUUUCUUUAUUUUGUUGAUUCCUAUUUCUCAUAGAAAGUACCCAGUGUAUUAUAAUCAGCAUGAUUCUUUUUUAAAACAGAUCAUGUACUUCUAUGAAACAUGUAUAAUUAAUAAUUCUUCUCUGUUGUUAGCAAGCACACGUCACGAACGAAUUCCAAACAUCAAUCAUUUUCCAAUAUCAUCACAUUUUCCUAGCAUUGGUUUAUCAGCAACCACCCAAAAAAUGGCGGCCACCAUUAAAAACCAAUCUUCAAUGACAUCUCACUUUGCGAUGAACAGCUCAUCAGCUUUAUUCGGCUCCAGGGGCCAACUACUUUCUCAACUGCACCAGAAUAUCAUUGUAGGUUCUCAAACCACUUACUCAACACAGUCUUAUGAACCGAAGAUUGCUGGCUACUCAAACCGCAAUCAGUUUUAUACAUGCAGUUAUUUUAUACUCUAUUUAAGUUUCAUUUUUGGCUAACAACCAUUCUUAAUGCACAUGAUCCCAAAUUCCUAAGAUGAUAUAUUCUUUACUGUAGAUAAUGACCAAUACAGUAAAGUAUCAACAUGGCCUGCCUUAUGUCAUGCAACAUAUUUAACACCGAAGAAAAUGUAUCGUGAGGAGCAGAAGAAAUGAUUAUGUAUCCCUGACGUAGAAACUAAUUUUUCUCUCUCUAAAAGGAGAUUGCCAUGGCAAGGCUACUAAUUACGUAAAUCAUCAAGAUAAAUGGAAAGAGUCCACUUCAGCUAUGUCCUUCCCCAUAUAUGCAUCUCUUUGACGCUAUUACAAAUGUAAAAUUUGAUGGUCAAACUACUCCAAGCUAAUUUCCUCUUUAUUUUGAAUGACAAGGCUGUGAAAAAUUGAGGGACGUUGUUUAAUUAUUUAGAAGAUGAACAACCCAAGAAAAAGUUACAGUUAUGUAGUCAUGCAAGCCUACGUAUUUCAGUUUACAAUGCUGGGCAUCACUUGAAUCAUAGAUAAGUUUGCAUUUUUUAUAAGAAAGUUGCUUAGGUAUGUUUCUUAACACAGUUUCAUUGUUUAGAAUCACGAUAGGUUUUGUUGAUAUGUAUAUAUCUGAAAGGGGCUUGGCUAUUCUUUAUGUGGAAAUAACUUUUUUAGGUUUCCCUAUAAGAUGGUGUACACAAUGCAAGGCAGCGAGGACUUCUGUGGUUUAUUAGGAUCUGAACCGGUUUUAUCAUAAUUUAAUUUUCUUAGAAAAAUCUCAUUUUAUGAUCGACUCGGAGAGAAUACGCAGGCCUUCUUAAUUAGUAUUAUAGCACAGAUAAAAUACCAAGUGUUGUGAUAUAUUUGAACUUUUAGUUUUGUUUGAAAAAUACUAAGUAUUAUUUUACUCCUUGCAAGAUUACAAGUGCAUUUUUAUGUCUUUCCAAAUUGAUAUAUGUAGGUGGAUAUACUAUGUAGAAUUAAUUUACAUCUUUUUAAAUGCAAUCAUGCAUGGUCUAAUCCAACAAGAAUCCUUUAGAAAAUAAAAUGUGGACUAAAAUUUAGGGGUUGUGCAGGGCCUUUCAGGAUGAAUAGAUUAUUGUCAUUCUCAGUACAAACAACCUAGAUGAACUCAUUCUGCUCACACAUUAUAUGGAAUAUUGGCCUUGAAAACCUAUAAUGAAAUUCAUGAUGAUAAUUUAGAACCUGCAGAUUUCUUGACCACUGAUGGGGUUUCCAGAAGCAGAAGGCUUAAUUUAUUUGAAGUGUCAUGAUACAACAGAAGGAUAGGUUAAAAUAUAGCAAGACUCGAGCAAGAUUGUUAGACUCUACGAAGAUCUAGGCCUCAUGCACCCAACAAGACAUCAUAAAUCAUUACUGCACGUAUGUUGUGACAAACAGUAUGAACUUUGAGAAAGGUCUCCUCUCAAGUGAUAAUAUUUGCCGCUGAGUGAAGAGCAGAAGGCGGAACAUUUGAGGAAGUUUCUACUGGUGAUUCAGUACGUCUAAGUUUCCUGUUACUCUGUCAGGGUCGAGCUUUUGGGCCAAGAUCUGAGCCUAGAGCAGGUCGUUUUCUUGCUAUCUUUGGAGGCUGAAUGGCACAUGUUUCAGUUGGGUUAAGCCGUUGAAUGAAAAUCUCAAUACAAGAAGGUUUUUGCUGCAUUAGAUAAUGAGCAAGAACCCUCAAUAAGAGGUAUUGCAUGUUGGAGAAGUCUGAAUGCAACUGGGAUUGUUAAACUGGAGGGAAUUUUAAAGGAGGCAGAUGAGUAUAACCUGGAGAUAUAAAAAGGAGUCUUAUGUUCUUUUCACUAUUCAAGCAUCAGGCCUGCACCAAUUAUUACUAUUUGUAAUAAUACAAUUUGUAGAUUGAUCUUUUCGUGUUGAUGUUUCCUUAAUGUCUACAAAGACGUUUCGGUA